rnacentral:rRNA from 1 species
CCUACGGGAGGCAGCAGUGGGGAAUAUUGCACAAUGGGGGAAACCCUUAUGCAGCGACGCCGCGUGAGUGAAGAAGUAUUUCGGUAUGUAAAGCUCUAUCAGCAGGGAAGAAAUAAAGUCCUUCGGACUUUGGACGGUACCUGACUAAGAAGCCCCGGCUAACUACGUGCCAGCAGCCGCGGUAAUACGUAGGGGGCAAGCGUUAUCCGGAUUUACUGGGUGUAAAGGGAGCGUAGACGGCAGCGCACGUCUGGAGUGAAAUCCCAUGGCUUAACCAUGGAACUGCUUUGGAAACUGUGCAGCUGGAGUGCAGGAGAGGUAAGCGGAAUUCCUAGUGUAGCGGUGAAAUGCGUAGAUAUUAGGAGGAACACCAGUGGCGAAGGCGGCUUACUGGACUGUAACUGACGUUGAGGCUCGAAAGCGUGGGGAGCAAACAGGAUUAGAUACCCCAGUAGUC